rnacentral:lncRNA from 1 species
GGAGGUUAUGAAAAUGAAAGGUUACAAGAAUAAUGAUUAUAAAGGUGGAGAUUAUAUAUGGAGGUUAUGGUUAUUUUCAUAAUGGAGGAAAGUAAUGUAGUAACUUCUUGGUGUAGUGGACAUCCACACUAUAUUAUUUUAUAACACUCCCUUGGAUGUCCAUAGAUAAUAUGCCUCGUUAAAACCUUACUAGGAAAAAAUCCUAUGGCAAAAAAUCUCAGUGAAGGAAAAAGAGUACACAUAUCUUUUAAUACGCUUGAAUGUUGCCUCGUUAAAAACCUUACUAGGAAAACCCAUUUGGGACAAAAUCAUGGUUAAGGAAAAGAGUACAACGCGUAUUUUUCUUUCCCUGAUAAA